rnacentral:rRNA from 1 species
GAUGAACGCUGGCGGCAUGCUUAACACAUGCCAGUCGAACGGGAAGUGGUGUUUCCAGUGGCGAACGGGUGAGUAACGCGUAAGAACCUGCCCUUGGGAGGGGAACAACAACUGGAAACGGUUGCUAAUACCCCGUAGGCUGAGGAGCAAAAGGAGAAAUCCGCCCAAGGAGGGGCUCGCGUCUGAUUAGCUAGUUGGUGAGGUAAUAGCUUACCAAGGCGAUGAUCAGUAGCUGGUCCGAGAGGAUGAUCAGCCACACUGGGACUGAGACACGGCCCAGACUCCUACGGGAGGCAGCAGUGGGGAAUUUUCCGCAAUGGGCGAAAGCCUGACGGAGCAAUGCCGCGUGGAGGUGGAAGGCCUACGGGUCGUCAACUUCUUUUCUCGGAGAAGAAACAAUGACGGUAUCUGAGGAAUAAGCAUCGGCUAACUCUGUG